AAAGCGCCCCAGCCCUCUCCUCUCCAUUUUCCCUCGUUCUGGCGAGAAGCAGCAGGCGGAGGACCACCAGUCGACACCCCUCUCCUCUUCUCCUUCUCUCCCUCUUUGUUCUCUCUUCUCUCCAGCCGGCGAAGCCAGCAGCUCGGCGAGAAAGCAACAGCCAGCUACCGGCGAAACAACAAGCAGCUCCGACGACGCGAGCCACCGGCGAGAACGCGAAACCAGUAGCAGCUGCGACCGGCGAAGAGCUCCGGAAAAGCAGCAGCACUACGGAGACGGCGUGAACACCAACAGCAGCAGCGAGCAAAGCAGAACUCCGGCGAAAUUAAAAGUUUGUUAAAGACGGAUCUGUAUCCAUCCAGGUUGUGGAAGGUGGAAAUCAAGACUAGUGGCUAGUGAAGUGUUUUUGCAAUGGUAUUUUGAGAAGCAACCUCUAUUUUACUGCCUUAGUUUUGUUAAUAUUUAGUAUAUCUUAGUUAUACUUUCAAGUUGGAUAAUUUUUACUUAAUACAUUUUUCCUUAAGAGGAAUGCUGAGAUAUUAUCUCAUGAAUGUCAUUUUAGAUGUUCUUAAUUAAUAUAUGACAGUGUAAUUUUUUUUAUUAUUAU